GUCCACGCCGUAAACGAUGAUUACUAGGUGUCGGGGGUUACAAACCUUCGGUGCCGCAGCUAACGCAAUAAGUAAUCCACCUGGGGAGUACGUUCGCAAGAAUGAAACUCAAAGGAAUUGACGGGGACCCCGCACAAGCGGUGGAGCAUGUGGUUUAAUUCGAAGCAACGCGAAGAACCUUACCAAAUCUUGACAUCCCUUUGACCGGUACUUAAUGGUACCUUCUCUUCGGAGCAGAGGUGACAGGUGGUGCAUGGUUGUCGU
rnacentral:rRNA from 1 species